GUCCUGAUAUGUGCAGAGACCUCAGAGAAGCUCAAAUUAGCUUUUGUCUUCCCUGAGUUUCAAGAACAAAGAGCGCAACCCAAUUCCCUUGCAGGAGAAAAUUCAUUGCUGCCACCCCUACCAAGAGGGAUCAGUAUCCUCACCAUGGACCUCUGCUUAGGAAAGGUGGCAUUCAAAGGCAACCAGACAUCUCUACUGCCAGCUCAUCAGGCUGGCAGAGAGAAAAUUGCCCAGGGAACGUCUUCUACUACUGAGAUCUGGAAAUACAGUCCUAAAAAGAAAAAAAGUUCCCUCCCCAUGUGGAGGUAUCUUUCUUUCUCCAGAGAGAAGCAGAUGGGCUUCCUUGGUGGCUCAGCUGGUAAAGAAGCCUGCAAUGUGGGAGACCUGGGUUCAAUCCCUGGGUUGACAAGAUCCCCUGGAGAAGGGAAAGGCUACCUACUUCAGUAUUCUGGCCUGGAGAAUUCCAUGGACUAUUCCCUUCAACGUGCUUGUGUGAUUCAUUUAUAAUAAGUUAAAUGCAUUUUUCACAAUCUGUAUCCUAUCUUGGUUCCCCCAUCCUGAUAGGUUUUAAAAAAAAUAUAUUUAUGUAAUAAAAUUCACUUUUGUGGUGUACAGUUCCAUCAGUUUGGGCAAAUGCACAGAGUAGUAUUAUGAACCAUCAUUUUAUACACAAUUCUAUCAUCCAAAAGUUUCUCCUACUAUUCCUGUAGAGAGAACCUUCCCCCAACCCAUGAUCCAUCAAUUACUCAUUGGUUUUCCUCCUUAUGAUUUUGCCCUUUCCAGAGUACUGUGUGAAUAGAAUCAAACAACUCUGGGUCUGGCUUCUUUCACUUUGUAAAAUGCAGCUAAGAUUCAUACAUGCUAUUUUAUAAAUCCGUAGUCUGUUCUAUUUUAUUGCUGAAAGAAUUCUAUUAUAUGGAUGUAUUAUAUUUUAUGGAACAUCAAGGUUGUUUCCAGUUUUAAAGCAGCUAUGAAUAUUUACUUACAGGUUUUUGUACGAACGUAUUUUCUUUACUUUUGGAUGUACACCUCAGAGUGGGAUUGCUGGGUCACAUGGAAGAGAGCCAGCCUCUCCUUCACCCAACCAAGUAGAGUUCAGUGUCUGGGUGGAAAGGAAGAUGCAUUCCAGCUGUCCCCAAAAUGAAGAAAAGCAGAAGAUGGUUUCCGCCCCCCCUUCUUCAGUGAAAUAAACCUGACCUUCUGAUAGGAGAGUCUGUCUUGAAUCAGAAAUGGUUUAACUAAAUCACAACAGGAAGCAUCUCCAGUUACAGCCCAACUUGCUCUAGGUCCUGAUGGAUGAAGAUAGCAUGCCACUUGACUUCAUGAAACUCGGGGUGUAGCAGGUAGUUGCCCUAAGGGGCCUAUAC
ensembl:lncRNA